AGGAGGAACAGCCCCAGUGGCGGGCCAGCUCUGGAGCCCUGGAUUCAGCUCCGGCAGGAACUCCGUCUGCAGGGCCUGGAGGCUCCGGGGCGGG
rfam:Canis lupus familiaris chromosome 2, whole genome shotgun sequence.